rnacentral:pre_miRNA from 1 species
UUUCUACUCCAUCCGUCCGAAAAUACUUGUCAUCAAAAUGGAUAAAAAGAGAUGUAUCUAAAACUAAAAUACGUCUAGAUACAUUUCUUUUUAUCCAUUUUGAUGACAAGUAUUUCCGGACGGAGGGAGUAUUUG